AAAAUUUGAAAAUAAAGAGAGCUAUCCGUCGACAGUCUAUAUUUUACACUGUCAUGGAGUUGCUCUCUUUAUGGACGAAUUU
rfam:Dendroctonus ponderosae Seq01032780, whole genome shotgun sequence.